rnacentral:rRNA from 1 species
ACGCUCGACACCUACGGGAGGCGGCAGUUAGGAAUAUUGGGCAAUGGAGGAAACUCUGACCCAGCAACGCCGCGUGAAGGAAGAAGGUUUUCGGAUUGUAAACUUCUGAUCUAGGGGAAGAAGGAAGUGACGGUACCCUAGGAGAAAGCCACGGCUAACUACGUACCAGCAGCCGCGGUAAUCUGAGCGGGCUGGCAAGGC